GUUACCUACGGGACGCAGCAGUGAGGAAUAUUGGUCAAUGGGAGAGAUCCUGAACCAGCCAAGCCGCGUGAGGGAAGACGGCUCUAUGGGUUGUAAACCUCUUUUGUCGGAGAACAAAACCCGGGACGUGUCCCGGACUGCGUGUAUCCGAAGAAAAAGCAUCGGCUAACUCCGUGCCAGCAGCCGCGGUAAUACGGAGGGUGCAAGCGUUAAUCGGAAUUACUGGGCGUAAAGCGCACGCAGGCGGUUUGUUAAGUCAGAUGUGAAAUCCCCGGGCUCAACCUGGGAACUGCAUCUGAUACUGG
rnacentral:rRNA from 1 species